GCCGGAUUCUGCUGCGACUGAGGAUGGCAAUACCGACAUGCAGUAAAAAGGAUGGCACCAGUGUAAAGCAACACACUCCACACACCAAAGACAAGCUACUUCCUGCUACAACAAGGCCAUUGUGUGGACUUUGGCUGUUACUACAAGAAUCUGCACCAAGCACACCAUGGUCCUCAUCACAGGAGCCCCCAUCUACCCUGACAGGAAGGGGCUGGAGCCAAAUUUACAAGGAUUUUACACCACAAAG